UGAUCAUGGCUCAGGACGAACGCUGGCGGCGUGCCUAAUACAUGCAAGUCGAACGAACUCUGGUAUUGAUUGGUGCUUGCAUCAUGAUUUACAUUUGAGUGAGUGGCGAACUGGUGAGUAACACGUGGGAAACCUGCCCAGAAGCGGGGGAUAACACCUGGAAACAGAUGCUAAUACCGCAUAACAACUUGGACCGCAUGGUCCGAGCUUGAAAGAUGGCUUCGGCUAUCACUUUUGGAUGGUCCCGCGGCGUAUUAGCUAGAUGGUGGGGUAACGGCUCACCAUGGCAAUGAUACGUAGCCGACCUGAGAGGGUAAUCGGCCACAUUGGGACUGAGACACGGCCCAAACUCCUACGGGAGGCAGCAGUAGGGAAUCUUCCACAAUGGACGAAAGUCUGAUGGAGCAACGCCGCGUGAGUGAAGAAGGGUUUCGGCUCGUAAAACUCUGUUGUUAAAGAAGAACAUAUCUGAGAGUAACUGUUCAGGUAUUGACGGUAUUUAACCAGAAAGCCACGGCUAACUACGUGCCAGCAGCCGCGGUAAUACGUAGGUGGCAAGCGUUGUCCGGAUUUAUUGGGCGUAAAGCGAGCGCAGGCGGUUUUUUAAGUCUGAUGUGAAAGCCUUCGGCUCAACCGAAGAAGUGCAUCGGAAACUGGGAAACUUGAGUGCAGAAGAGGACAGUGGAACUCCAUGUGUAGCGGUGAAAUGCGUAGAUAUAUGGAAGAACACCAGUGGCGAAGGCGGCUGUCUGGUCUGUAACUGACGCUGAGGCUCGAAAGUAUGGGUAGCAAACAGGAUUAGAUACCCUGGUAGUCCAUACCGUAAACGAUGAAUGCUAAGUGUUGGAGGGUUUCCGCCCUUCAGUGCUGCAGCUAACGCAUUAAGCAUUCCGCCUGGGGAGUACGGCCGCAAGGCUGAAACUCAAAGGAAUUGACGGGGGCCCGCACAAGCGGUGGAGCAUGUGGUUUAAUUCGAAGCUACGCGAAGAACCUUACCAGGUCUUGACAUACUAUGCAAAUCUAAGAGAUUAGACGUUCCCUUCGGGGACAUGGAUACAGGUGGUGCAUGGUUGUCGUCAGCUCGUGUCGUGAGAUGUUGGGUUAAGUCCCGCAACGAGCGCAACCCUUAUUAUCAGUUGCCAGCAUUAAGUUGGGCACUCUGGUGAGACUGCCGGUGACAAACCGGAGGAAGGUGGGGAUGACGUCAAAUCAUCAUGCCCCUUAUGACCUGGGCUACACACGUGCUACAAUGGAUGGUACAACGAGUUGCGAACUCGCGAGAGUAAGCUAAUCUCUUAAAGCCAUUCUCAGUUCGGAUUGUAGGCUGCAACUCGCCUACAUGAAGUCGGAAUCGCUAGUAAUCGCGGAUCAGCAUGCCGCGGUGAAUACGUUCCCGGGCCUUGUACACACCGCCCGUCACACCAUGAGAGUUUGUAACACCCAAAGUCGGUGGGGUAACC
rnacentral:rRNA from 1 species